rnacentral:misc_RNA from 1 species
GCAAACUUGGUCAUUUAGAGGAAGUAAAAGUCGUAACAAGGUUUCCGUAGGUGAACCUGCGGAAGGAUCAUUAUCGAGUUAGGGUCUUCAUAGGCCCGACCUCCCAAACCUGUGUCUACUGAACCACUGUAGCUUCGGCGGGCCCGUCCCCUUAUCUGGGGGGACCGCCGGGGGACCGUUACACGUCUCCUGGCCCGUGUCCGUCGGUGGCCAACAACUUCAAACUCUUGAUUAGCCGUGUCUAGUUCUGAUUAUUAUUCAUAAAUACAAAGCAAAAACUUUCAACAACGGAUCUCUUGGUUCUGGCAUCGAUGAAGAACGCAGC